rnacentral:sRNA from 1 species
GCCCCAGGGAAGGCCCCAACUGCCAGAAGAAAAUCGUGUUUGUUAUAAAGUAGGAUUUGAAGGAUAUGAACCACUAGUGCAAUUAAGACUGUAUUUAAGAGCGACUCGAGGGUGGGGAUGAGAAGAAGGGACUGCCAAGAAACCAUCAGGGGACACAGUGCCCAACGAAUACAGAGGCUAGUCACAGCUGCGAAAGAAGAUGAGAAUCUCAGAUUUAACAACAAGUUUCCAAGGCAAUAAAAUAUCUUCAUUAAAGAAAACGUUUGGACAUUAUUGCACAAGGCCACCGCCAGUGACAGAGGUUUAUAGUACUGAGAAGAUCUGAAACCAGAAUGAUGAUGAAAACAGGAGAAGGAAACUGGUCAAGCAGAGCAGGGACGCCAAGAGCUACCAUUUGGAGGGAAUGUACUUGCUAGAGGUUAGCCACACUGGAAGAGAAUUCUGCUUGCUUGUUACGUCAUCUCCUGGAUCAGUUCCUCUGCUUGGAAGUUUUUUGUGAGUACAGGAUAAAACUAAGGGAAGCUGAGUGGGCAGUUUAGCUCAUGGCAACAUCAAAACUGACAAUCUCAAGCCCUACUUACCUCAUCCCAGUUGCUGCUGUUGGUCCCCUUAAAGGACCUAGACUAGCAUCUUAGUGGUAUCCCUUGGGAUCUGCACCUGCUGUAUGGGUACUCUGCCUUUUUCUUUCUCAUAAGCAUCUGGAACAAAAUACCCCUCCCUGAUACUCAUCAUGAAUUGCAUCCUUUACAUUUGAGAGAUCUAGAGGCCACUGACUCAUUUGAAGAUUUUUGUUACUGUGAGCAUCUGGCAAUCUUAUCUCCAGAGUUAGAGUUUCCAUGGCAUGAGGUGAAAGCUUCCUUCAAACUCAAGGACACCCUUCUCCCAAAUCAAAAAUAUCUAAGUAGAAACCCCAGUCCUACCUCUCCUCAGCAAAUGGUGCUGAACUAAGUCUUCUCCUCUUUAUGUUUUCUUUUUACUGAAGCUAGCCCCUUCUUCACUGGUAACAGUGAAGGUCAUGUUAUGUAAUACAUGCACAAGACCACAUACAAUCACUAAUAUGCCCUGUAUAUUUUAUCAACUGCUGUUUAUAUAUUCUGUAUAUGUAAGAGUUGGAGUGGCAGGCUUUGACAGCUAUCACAGUGAUCAGAUUCUACACCUCUGCAGGAAACAAAAUGGCAUCUAUGAAUCCUCAUGUAAAUUAUACCCAGGAAGAUGAAAAUUGGAGGUGAUUAGACACUCAAGAACAUAAGAAUUCCUCCCUCUGUGUGUCUCUGUCUCUCAUCCUUCCUCCAUCCCUCACUCUACGCCACUGAGACAUAGAUAUCACAAAACAUGAUUAUUAAUCCAGUUUGUGAGAGUUGGGUUUUCUUAAAAGGCAUUCAAAUUUUGUUUGUGAUAAUUGAUUGUAAAUUUUAUCUCACUUGCUUUCUGCUAUAUUUCUUUAGCUUAAUGCCAACUACAUGCUCAAAUCUAUAUUCUAAAUUAUUGAAGUUAUAUUAAUAUUAUCCACUGUAUUUUAAUACAUUCAUUUCCUCUGUAAGCAAGGUCUUACUAAUUUUAAGAAAUUUAGUGUUCAGUUUCAUGUAUCCUUUCAAUGUUAUGUGUUUGGGGUGUUUGUCCGUGGAGACUGGAGUGAUCUUUCAUAUCUCCGAGUUCCUGCUGUCACUGAUGCUGACCAAGUCCUCUGUAUCAUACACAGUAGAAAUAUACAGCCAAUUCUGACUGUUCCCACAUGUCUUUACUAAACAGUGCCCAGCCAUCUUCUACCUAUCUUUGUUGUCCCCCAGUUCCAAUUAAUCUCUAUUAAUUUUUAUUUUCAUUUACAUUUUGGGAUUUCACAUUUAUCUAUAUUAUGGUUGUGUACUUUCAGACAUUAUUGUGCUCAGACAUUAUAAUAAAGGGAUUAUGUCUUGAUCAUAAAAUGAUACUCCUUUUUAUUCAUUCAUCUUCACUCACUAUUUUGCAAUAAUAUUUAUU